UACGUAGGCAGCAAGCGUCGUUCGGAAUUACUGGGCGUAAAGCGAGUGUAGGUGGUUCGAUAAGUUUGGUGUGAAAUCUCCCGGCUCAACUGGGAGGUGCGCCGAAGACUGUCGAGCUAGAGUGUGGGAGAGGUAGGCGGAAUUCCUGGAUGUAGCGGUGAAAUGCGUAGAUAUCAGGAGGAACACCUGCGGUGUAGACGGCUUACUGGACCACGACUGACACUGGAAACUCGAAAAGUGUGGGGAGCAAACACGGGAUUAAGAAAACCCUAGACGUCCAGA
rnacentral:rRNA from 1 species